rnacentral:rRNA from 1 species
UACGUAGGUGACGAGCGUUAUCCGGAUUUACUGGGCGUAAAGCGCUUGUAGGUGGCUCUGUAAGUUGGGCGUGAAAACUCUGGGCUUAACCCAGAGACGCCGUCCAAUACUGCGAGGCUCGAGGAUGUCAGAGGAAGGUGGAAUUCCUGGUGUAGUGGUGAAAUGCGUAGAUAUCAGGAGGAACACCAGUGGCGAAGGCGGCUCACUGGCCCGUAACUGACGCUGAGGCACGAAAGCGAGGGUAGCAAACGGG